rnacentral:rRNA from 1 species
UACGAAGGGGGCUAGCGUUGUUCGGAAUUACUGGGCGUAAAGCGUGCGCAGGCGGCUUCUCAAGUCAGGGGUGAAAGCUCAGAGCUCAACUCUGGAAUUGCCUUUGAGACUGAGUGGCUUGAGUACGAAAGAGGAUCGCGGAAUUCCCGGUGUAGAGGUGAAAUUCGUAGAUAUCAGGAGGAAUACCGAUGGCGAAGGCAGGUCUCUGGGCUAGAACUGACGCUCAUGCACGAAAGCGUGGGGAGCAAACAGG